CCGACGCUAAGAUUUCAGAUGCUGGCCAACCUCUCUAAGGGAACAGGUGUCCCCUCUGUCUGCCUGUGGUCGAGGUCCCGUAGUGGAAGCAUGGGAAAGGGCAGCCACCGCAGAGGUUCUACCCCAGCGGACAGAAGAGGGAUUUUGGGCCUGGUGGUGAGCACAUCAUUUUGAAGAGAGAUCAAAAGAGCAGCAGUGUCAGCCCUGAAGCAACCAGCUCAUCAGUGUGACCUGUGAUCAAUGGUGCAGGUGUGGAGGAGAACACCGGGGCAGUGGAGGGCCGGCUGCCCCUGCCCCGCCUGUGGCCGCGGAGGACGGCGUCGAUUAAUCACAGUGAAGCCUGCGAGAGCUCGCUCAUAAAUCGCCUCGCCGCUCCUUAAACAGGAGAGUCCCAGGGCGCAGCGCCGUCAUUUAUCAACACUCUCCCCUCCGGAUGAGGAGUAAAUAAAACUCUGAAUAUGUAACGGAGGGGAAAUGAGGAGGGGGGUGUCCUGGGAUGUUGAGGAUAUCAACUGGUGUAAUGAUAAAUAAAGAAGUGCCUAAACUAUGACCUCCAAGCAGUCAUCAAUGUAAUUUGUUUAUUUAUUGAAUAUUUU